GGUGCUGUGGCGAAGAUGGUUAUCGCAUCGUGCUGAUAAGCAGAUAGCUGCCACACGAAGGUCCGCGGUUCGAGCCCGCGCAGCACCA
rnacentral:tRNA from 1 species